UUUUACCUGAAAAGAAAAGAAAAUAAUUAAAAUUGGAAAAAAAUAGUGUGGAACGAUACUUACUAUACCAAUUUUUUUUGUUUUGAUUGUAAAAAAUGAAACAUAUGUUAUCCAGUGUUGGUAAACGUUCGUAUAUGUUUUACUUGUUGCAGACUAUUGUGAAUGAUUGCUACAGUAGGGUACGUAGUAGUAAAACGGAUGAAUGAAUUUAUGCGUCCUUUUUGUAUUGAAAUUUAGUUGUAAUGGGGAAUUCUAAUGGAAAUGAAAUAGAUAUAUUUAACUAAAUAAAAUUUUGUUAGAAAGGGAUAUAUGUAUCGUUGUUAAAAGGCAGAUUUUAGAGGGAAAAAAAAAAUAAAGAUGGCUUUAUUGGAAUAGCUAGUUAAUAUAGGUCAAGCGUAGCCAUGUAAAUUUUGUACUUGGUAAGAUUACAAAGCUUCUGGACGUUGAGAAAUAAAGACAUAAAAAAGUGCGCGCAAUAAUAAGUGAAAUCAAAUCGCUAGUUUUUUAUAUAAAAAAAAAAAAAAUAAAAAAAUAUACACCAUAUACAUUGGCAAAUAAAAGUAAAGAUUAAAAAUAAUACAAAAGGAAAUUACAUAAUAAAGGGUAGCAAGAGUUUGAGAAUUUCGAGUAUUGGACAAGAAAUAAAGUUAAAGGUUACUGCAACGACAAGGAUAAGGAAAUCUAGAAGUGUUCCUGCAAAAUAGUAUUAUAAGCUUGGAGAACCUUGAGACGGGUUUCUAUCUGGAGCAGGACCAGAGUUAACUAUUUUCGGAAACCUUACUCUUCCUGGGAAGAAUCUCAAAAAGGGUUCUCCAAAAAUUUAAAUCCUCUCCUAAAACAACAGGUAACCAUACUCAAUUAAGAAAAAUAAUAGCCAGAAAGAAAAAUAGUACAAUCCGUUCAAUACUCGACGCUACGUAUUCAAUUGUGAAAUUUCAAUUAUUGCACUUGAUUUUUAGUAUAUUUAACUAUAGAACAGAAGAUAUAUAUCAGAAUUUAGGGUUAAGAUUACUCCGUAUCAUUUAUUAGUUUUAAGUUUAAUUUAUUUAUAAGAUAUAUUCAUAUGUGUUUGUGAUUAGCGUGCCUCGCAAGAAAAAAAAAAAAUCGUCAGGUUGUA